rnacentral:lncRNA from 1 species
GGAAUUUCACACCAUCGUGUCAGUGAAUGCACUUCAUCAUCUGUCCAAGAAGAGGAGAGCAAGGCUGAGCAAGGUCAGGGAAUCAAACCCUGUAAGAAAAGUCCUUGCAACUCUGCAGAGACACGGAUGAAACUGGACCGAUAAGCGAGUCAGUUGGUCUGCACGCUCUCAUUUAAGAAGAGCCAGGAAGGGGUGGCUUCUCCAGGGUAGACAUAGAUACACGCAUGUCUGAAGACCAACAGAAGACCAGCUGGUGGGAUCGUAAAGACAACUUUCCUACAAAUGUUACAGACACAAUACCAGGAACACGGGAAGAUUGAUACUUGGCAAGAUGAUGGACUUCAAAAAUAACUUUGGAUUCUCUGACCUGCUUCACUAAUGCACACUGCAGUAAAACCAGGGUGGGUGAGAAGUGUGUCAGAUGAAUGUCUUGGAGACGUUUGAAGUCCAGCUGUUAGAUGUGCUUCCAAAAUUCACUGGAGGAGCCCUCCCCACGUCCAAACAGGGAUCCAAAGAGAAGAGCGACAGGCAAACUUCAAAUAUGGCACAUAAAGUUUUCAUAGCUGCAUUAGAGUGCAGAAGUCUUCCUGACUCAGAUUCCCACUCCUGCUACCUCUGGUUCUUCUGCUCAGAGCUCCCAGCCCCAGUCUCAGUGACAAGCUUCAAUCCACUGUGGCUACCUGGCUCAUGGCUCAGUCUGGACCACCAAACUCACGUGCAAAGGAGUUCUUACGAGAUGGAAAAGUGUGAGAGGGAGACUGAGCAAACAUCUAUGGGAAAGAGGGAUGUCAGCCAGUAG